rnacentral:tRNA from 2 species
UGCGGAGUGGUGUAAUGGUAGCACAGCGGCCUUUGGAGCCGUUUAUCUAGGUUCGAAUCCUAGCUCCGCAGCCA